GACGAACGCUGGCGGCGUGCUUAACACAUGCAAGUCGAACGCUGAAGACCUGGCUUUUGUUGGGUUGGAUGAGUGGCGAACGGGUGAGUAACACGUGAGUAACCUGCCCCCUUCUUUGGGAUAACGCCCGGAAACGGGUGCUAAUACUGGAUAUUCACUGGCCUUCGCAUGGGGGUUGGUGGAAAGGUUUGUUCUGGUGGGGGAUGGGCUCGCGGCCUAUCAGCUUGUUGGUGGGGUGAUGGCCUACCAAGGCUUUGACGGGUAGCCGGCCUGAGAGGGUGACCGGUCACAUUGGGACUGAGAUACGGCCCAGACUCCUACGGGAGGCAGCAGUGGGGAAUAUUGCACAAUGGGCGGAAGCCUGAUGCAGCGACGCCGCGUGAGGGAUGGAGGCCUUCGGGUUGUAAACCUCUUUCGCUCAUGGUCAAGCCGCAACUGUGGGUUGUGGUGAGGGUAGUGGGUAAAGAAGCGCCGGCUAACUACGUGCCAGCAGCCGCGGUAAUACGUAGGGCGCGAGCGUUGUCCGGAAUUAUUGGGCGUAAAGGGCUUGUAGGCGGUUGGUCGCGUCUGCCGUGAAAUCCUCUGGCUUAACUGGGGGCGUGCGGUGGGUACGGGCUGACUUGAGUGCGGUAGGGGAGACUGGAACUCCUGGUGUAGCGGUGGAAUGCGCAGAUAUCAGGAAGAACACCGGUGGCGAAGGCGGGUCUCUGGGCCGUUACUGACGCUGAGGAGCGAAAGCGUGGGGAGCGAACAGG
rnacentral:rRNA from 1 species